GAAAUCUAUGAAAUUUUAACACAAGGUUUAUGACCACAAAAGGAAGGUUGGGAUUGAUUUUGGGAGUUUUAGUCCCAACAUUUUAGGAAUUAGGGGUCAAAAAGGGCCCAAAUAAGCAUUUUCUUGGUUUUCGCACUAUAACUUUAGUUUAAGUAAAUAGAAAUCUAUGAAAUUUUGACAUAAGGUUUAUGACCACAAAAGAAAGGUUGGGAUUGAUUUUGGGAGUUUUGGUUCAAACAGUUUAGGAAUUAGGGGCCAAAAAAGGGCCCAAAUAAGCAUUAUUCUUGGUUUUCGCACAAUAACUUUAGUUUAAGUAAAUAGAAAUCAAUGAAAUUUAAACACAAUGUUUAUGACCACAAAAGGAAGGUUGGUAUUGAUUUUGGAGUUUAGGUCCCAACAGUUUAGGAAUUAGGGGCCAAAAAAGGGACCCAAAUAAGCAUUUUUUUUGGUUUUCGCACCAUAACUUUAGUAUAAGUAAAUAAAAUCUAUGAAAUUUAAACACAAGGUUUAUGACCAUAAAAGGAAGGUUGGUAUUGAUUUUGGGAGUUUUGGUCCCAACAGUUUAGGAAUAAAGGGCCCAAAGGGUCCAGAUUUAAACUUUGUUUGAUUUUAUCAAAAAUUGAAUAAUUGGGGUUCUUUGAUAUGCCGAAUCUAACUGUGUAUGUAGAUUCUUAAUUUUUUGUCCCGUUUUCAAAUUGGUCUACAUUAAGGUCCAAAGGGUCC
rnacentral:lncRNA from 1 species